GAUGAACGCUGGCGGCGUGCCUAAUACAUGCAAGUCGAGCGAACGGACGAGAAGCUUGCUUCUCUGAUGUUAGCGGCGGACGGGUGAGUAACACGUGGAUAACCUACCUAUAAGACUGGGAUAACUUCGGGAAACCGGAGCUAAUACCGGAUGAUAUUUUGAACCGCAUGGUUCAAAAGUGAAAGACGGUCUUGCUGUCACUUAUAGAUGGAUCCGCGCUGCAUUAGCUAGUUGGUAAGGUAACGGCUUACCAAGGCAACGAUGCAUAGCCGACCUGAGAGGGUGAUCGGCCACACUGGAACUGAGACACGGUCCAGACUCCUACGGGAGGCAGCAGUAGGGAAUCUUCCGCAAUGGGCGAAAGUCUGACGGAGCAACGCCGCGUGAGUGAUGAAGGUCUUCGGAUCGUAAAACUCUGUUAUUAGGGAAGAACAUAUGUGUAUGUAACUGUGCACAUCUUGACGGUACCUAAUCAGAAAGCCACGGCUAACUACGUG
rnacentral:rRNA from 1 species